GAUGAACGCUGGCGGCGUGCCUAAUACAUGCAAGUCGAGCGAACGGACGAGAAGCUUGCUUCUCUGAUGUUAGCGGCGGACGGGUGAGUAACACGUGGAUAACCUACCUAUAAGACUGGGAUAACUUCGGGAAACCGGAGCUAAUACCGGAUAAUAUUUUGAACCGCAUGGUUCAAAAGUGAAAGACGGUCUUGCUGUCACUUAUAGAUGGAUCCGCGCUGCAUUAGCUAGUUGGUAAGGUAACGGCUUACCAAGGCAACGAUGCAUAGCCGACCUGAGAGGGUGAUCGGCCACACUGGAACUGAGACACGGUCCAGACUCCUACGGGAGGCAGCAGUAGGGAUUCUUCCGCAAUGGGCGAAAGCCUGACGGAGCAACGCCGCGUGAGUGAUGAAGGUCUUCGGAUCGUAAAACUCUGUUAUUAGGGAAGAACAUAUGUGUAAGUAACUGUGCACAUCUUGACGGUACCUAAUCAGAAAGCCACGGCUAACUACGUG
rnacentral:rRNA from 1 species